rnacentral:rRNA from 1 species
UACGUAGGGUGCGAGCGUUGUCCGGAAUUACUGGGCGUAAAGAGCUCGUAGGUGGUUUGUCGCGUUGUUCGUGAAAACUCACAGCUUAACUGUGGGCGUGCGGGCGAUACGGGCAGACUGGAGUACUGCAGGGGAGACUGGAAUUCCUGGUGUAGCGGUGGAAUGCGCAGAUAUCAGGAGGAACACCGGUGGCGAAGGCGGGUCUCUGGGCAGUAAACUGACGCUGGAGGAGCGGAAAA